UUGAAAGGGAAACGAUUGAAGUCAGUCGUACCAGCGGGAAUCAACCCUUCGAGUGGGGGUUUUGGAGUUUUGAAGAGUGUCAAAACCUUUGAGAUUUCAAAAUAUUCGCUCUUUUGGUGUACUUUCUCGUGGGUAGGUUAACAUCGAUUUUGAUCAUCAUAAAAAGAUUGGAGGAAUGUAGCUUCGAUCUUGUAUUGAAGUGUUAUAGCCUUUGGUAAAUGUGAUGAUUAGGAUCGAGGAUUGCAACGAAUACCCUUUUGGGCUAUCCGCCUGAUCUCUGAUACGUGGCCUUGGUAUCGAAAGCGUGCUUAUGGUAUUGAGGUAUUACGGUCAAAAGGUUAGAACGGAUUACAUUCGUUAAGGAUGUUGACGUA
rnacentral:rRNA from 1 species